rnacentral:sRNA from 1 species
AGACCCGAAACACUUAGGAGGGCCAGGGC